UGCAGCUACUGUUUCAACUUUGAAAGCACCGUCGCGCAGCUCGGUUCCAUUGUCGCCGGGCUUGCCUCCUUUUUCCGUGGCGCAGCUCUGUUCCAUCGUCACCGGCGCUAUCUCUGUUCCACCUGUCAUCCCUUCGGUCGUGCCUUGUCCCCCUCUUGCUCAGGAUCUGCUCUGCUCUGUUCUAGGGCUUCUAGCUUCUAGGCUGUGUUUGAUGAGGAUGAGGAAGAUAAAUACAAGGAAAGGAAUUCGGAAAAUAGUUUGAAGA